rnacentral:rRNA from 1 species
GAUGAACGCUGGCGGCGUGCCUAAUACAUGCAAGUCGAACGGACAAAUCAGCAAUGGUUUGUUAGUGGCGAACGGGUGAGUAACGCGUUGGUGACCUGCCCCAAAGACGGGGAUAACAGAUCGAAAGGUCUGCUAAUACCGGAUAAUCUUAUGCUAGUUAGAGAGGCAUAAAGAAAGGGAGAAAUCCGCUUUGGGAGGGGCCUGCGUCCCAUCAGCUAGUUGGUAAGGUAACGGCUUACCAAGGCGAUGACGGGUAGGGGACCUGAGAGGGUGGCCCCCCACAAUGGAACUGAAACACGGUCCAUACACCUACGGGUGGCAGCAGUAGGGAAUAUUGCUUAAUGGGCGAAAGCCUGAAGCAGCAACGCCGCGUGUACGAAGAAGGCCUUCGGGUUGUAAAGUACUUUUGCAGGGGAUGAGGAAGGACAGUACCCUGACGAAUAAGUCCUCCGGCUAACUACCGUGCCAGCAGACCGCGGUUAAAACCGUCGUACUG